CUGCCUGACCAAGAAGAAAUGUCAUGCUGAGAGAACUGUCACAUCUGUCUGUAAUCACAGGCUCCUCACCGGUGACUUGGGAGAAAUGAUUUCUAUUGUGAAGAUUCAAAAUGUAUAGCAGUGAGAACUGUGACUGGCACAUAGUAGGCUUGAGGAAAUUAUCAGAGACAGUAACAGUGGACAGAGUUGUUCUGAAGAUAAAGGGAAGUGUGCAUGUCAUGUAUUUUUGGCUGUUCCUGAUUGACUUUACUCUUUGGAAGGGUGUCACUAUGUACAGCCCACACCUAAGGAAGAAGGAGUUACACCCUCCUCGAGGACAGAGUUGCUACCUAUUACUUAGAACUCUACUGCAUGGGAGAUUUGUCUUUUCUUUCCUAUUUGUUUCUUUAUUCAAUCACUAUAUCAGUGUUGACUCAAGGGUAAAUAAAUAUUUUACACUUUGGGCUAUGAUCUAACAC